UGUGCUACUUGCCAUGUCUUCUUAGACCCCCUUUGACUGUGACCGUUUCUCAAACUUCCUUGUGUUUAAUGACCUUGACAGUUUUGAGGAAUACUGGUCAGAUUUUGUAGGACGUCCUUCUCUUAUAAGGUGUCUAAUUUUUUUCUCAUGUAUAGACUGAGGUUAUGGGGUUAGGGGAAGAAGAUCGCAGAAGUAAAACGUCAUUCUCCUCACUUCCUACCAAGGGUAAAUACUAUCAACAAGACAUCACUAUGGAUGUUGACCUUUAUUACCCGGCUAGGGUAAGGUUUGUCAGGCUUUCCUGUGGUAACGUUACUCUUUUUCCCCCUUUUCAUACUGUACUACGCACAGCCCACAUUUAAGGAAUGGGGCCUCACGAUCCACAUCCACGAAAGUAGAACAUCCAUGGUACCACUCUGUAUCGUAUGGGAAGGAAUGCUGACAUCAUAAAGCCCAUAAUAACCCAAGAAGACAGACUUGAGAGAGCUUCCAGAUGUCUGAACAUGUGAAAGUGGACAGGCAGCUAACAAGACCUCAUCCACAUGCCAGAAUGGUGGCGCUCCCCAGCUGUACCGGGACACAAGUUCCUGCACUCAGGACCCUUCCAGAUCUCGCCCUAUGCAUUUCUUCAUCUGGCUGUUUAUUUGUAUCCUUUAAAAUAUCCUUUGUAAUAAACUGGUAAACAUAA